UGCGGGGUUUGAUACGGACCAACAGCUGCCAGUCAGACAGUAGUGGAUUUCUAGAAGAGCCCUAUGUGCCCUCUCUUCCUCAGCAGGGGUUACCAGGACCUGAUCUUAUCAAGGCUCUGUCAGGCCUGUCAGGAGAGAGCACCGACAGUCACAGCAGUGAGAGGCCAGGUUCUCCCUCUGCUUCGUACCCACACACCCCUACAUCUCCCCUCCUGUCUUCAUGUCUGAUCUCUUCUGGUGUUGACGAAUCUUCCUCACCAUGUCCUUCACCAGAGCCUUCUUCAGGUUUUGCUCUCCCAAAAUCUGAUCUGCAUAGUUCUGAGAUUGAGACGCCAUCAAAUCAGGAUCAGUCAUCUUCUUCAUUGUUACAGAGCCAAACCCAGUCCCAAUCUCCUCCCCUCGCAUCUCUGACAUCCUUCACCUCUCUCUCCCCUUCUUCUACCCCCUCAUUAAUUGAAGGGUCAGAAGAGGUAAAACCUGACAACAAGAAUGCUCCACGCCCCAACCUCUCUACCCUUCCUCACGACUCUGUAGGAACAGCAUGCUCCACAUCUUCAAAUGUUGCCCCUACUCUCUCAUCACCUUCUCCAGACCAAAAUUUGGACUGUUCAUUUUCUGCCUCCAUUGCUAUGUCUUCCGAAUCCUCCUCCGGGAGUUCAGAGAACACACAGUCAGGAAGUACAGAGCAGGCUCUGAAUAUAAAACCCCACUCGGCUUCUGGUGGCUCAUCAUCUCUGCUCCACUCCUCCCUGCAUUUACCUCCCUCUGUAUCUAAUCCUGAUUUUUACUCUCCAUCCUCUUUAGUGUCUCCCCCAUCAACUGAGUCCCUCACACACAGUCCAAAAUACAACAAAACAACAAAACAAAACGACUCCAUUUUCUCAAACUCAGAUGAACUUGAUCUCUCUGGUACACCAACCAAAACAUCCUGUCCUCUCUCCUCUCAGUUGGACAAGGACAAACCCUCAGCUCCAUCCCUCCUUAUUCUGACUUCCUCCAAGUUGGAGGAGGGUAGCCCUGCAUUGCCUUGCCUUUCUCCUAACCUUUCCACCCCAGUUAGUCAGUCUGCUUUCACAUAUGAUCCAGAUGGUCUAAUAGAUCCAUCUGUUCAAAGACUUUCACACCAGACAGAGCAAAGCCUUCUUCCUAACACAGACCAUGCUCCAGCCUCACCUGUCCAAGAUGUUAUUCAUGAUAAGAAGGAUGGCCUCUCUUUGCACUUAGAGGAUACCCUUCAGAGGAAUGAAAAGGGAGAAGGAGAGGGUGCGAGACAUAUGGACACUGAGCAGACUCAAGAUAGUUUUGUUUAUAUCCCAGAUACGGAGAGCUCUGAAGGUCUUUCAGAACGUUCUAGAUUAGUCUCUGAGGAAGUAUGUAACCAAAGAGAAACAGAUUCACAAGUCUCCCCCUGUACUUUGCAAGUUGAGCUUUCAGAUGAAACCAAACAGGAAGAGUUAAGGAAGGUCUGUCAAGUUGAAAUGAAAGACACAGAAAGUGAAUCACCCAGAAGUUAUUUAGUUUUACAUGACGAAGUUGCGGUGGAAUCCAGCCAGACUGAUGCGGAUUUAAAGGAACUGAUUGAGAUUGAGAGCUUAGAUAUGGUAUUUGAAACCUCAGUGGAUGGCUCAGAUGUUGAAAGUGGAGAAGCAGAUGCAUUUCUUCAGCAGCUUCACACUGAAGGGCAAGUCUUUUGGGCAGAACCCAUUGAGAUUUCCACUUCACCCCAGCUGCUUGAGGAGGCAGACGACUCCCCUGAGAAUCCUGACUUACCUAAAGAGCCAGCUGACUCAUUUUCAUCCACAGGGAAAGAAAUGCCUCUGGAUGAAAAGCUCUUGUCAUCCUCAGCAUCAAGGGGCAUUGACCAGAUAUCAAAAAAUGUAACUGCCUCUUCAGAUACGCUCUCUCCAGUGGCCCUAGAUCCAUGCUCAUUGCCACCUUCAACCUCAGACCUCAAGUCAUUAAGCCGCUCUGUUUCUGUUCAGAUGUCUUCAUCUCCAUCGUCUCAUAUUAUUCAAAGGAGGGAUGUUCCCUACAUGACAGCUUCAAAACGCACCCUACCCCCUAGUACCCUCCCGUUGGACACGUCCACACCCUUUCGUGCUGUCCAGUCAUGGACAGACUUACAGAUUCAGCGAACCAAGACGUUAUCACAAGAGAUUCUUGAUACUGUCCCAGUCGAAGUGACUCUAUCUACAAGUGCUCCAGACAAGAUGCAGUCUAACUGGCAGUCGCAUGACUCUCUUCCUGGGAUGGCUAAAAAUUACAGGACUGUGUCAGUCUCUGUAGAUACAGGCCUGUGUCCUUAUAAAGAGAGGGGCGUUGACGGGAAUGAAAAUGAAGCUGAAAAGAGGUUUUGGGAAGACAAUCAGACAACUACCAUGGUAUGCUGCUGCUCCUGUGAUCAUCGUGGUACCUGCAGUUCUCAGAAGAGUUACAACAGGCAGCAGACUGUGGAAAACAUUCCUUACUCUCUGGAUGAGCUGGAGGAGAUGAUGCUGUGCCUGCAGCAGUUUUGCUCUGUGCUCAGUAACAUGGAGGAGCAGCUCUCUGAAGACCAGGCUGCAGUUUACAGUGCUCUCACUGACCAGGACAGGUACACAUGCUGA
rnacentral:lncRNA from 1 species